AAUCUUCUGAUGAAAAAAAUGUUAUUGAAUGCACCACUGGCAGAAUCAGUAACUUGGGCAGCCAGGAAACAGGUUCUCAGAGUUGUUCACUUGCUGCUGUUGGAAGGAACCAAGGAUGUGCAAAUGACAACGAUGAGGAUCAGGCACACAUAAGGUUAAUGGAGGAGCAUUAUCAGGAGAGAGGUUCUGAUAGUGGUUUAAUUGCCCCACAUUCUGAAAAGAAAACAGUUGAUGGCAAAACUAUCGAGGAUAGACUUCAUUCUAGCACAGUAAGUUGCAUGACAAUUGAUGACAGGG
rnacentral:misc_RNA from 1 species